UGGGGAAUUUUGGACAAUGGGCGAAAGCCUGAUCCAGCAAUGCCGCGUGUGUGAAGAAGGCCUUCGGGUUGUAAAGCACUUUUGUCCGGAAAGAAAUCCUUGGCUCUAAUACAGUCGGGGGAUGACGGUACCGGAAGAAUAAGCACCGGCUAACUACGUGCCAGCAGCCGCGGUAAUACGUAGGGUGCAAGCGUUAAUCGGAAUUACUGGGCGUAAAGCGUGCGCAGGCGGUUUGCUAAGACCGAUGUGAAAUCCCCGGGCUCAACCUGGGAACUGCAUUGGUGACUGGCAGGCUAGAGUAUGGCAGAGGGGGGUAGAAUUCCACGUGUAGCAGUGAAAUGCGUAGAGAUGUGGAGGAAUACCGAUGGCGAAGGCAGCCCCCUGGGCCAAUACUGACGCUCAUGCACGAAAGCGUGGGGAGCAAACAGGAUUAGAUACCCUGGUAGUCCACGCCCUAAAACGAUGUCAACUAGUUGUUGGGGAUUCAUUUCCUUAGUAACGUAGCUAACGCGUGAAGUUGACCGCCUGGGGAGUACGGUCGCAAGAUUAAAACUCAAAUGAAUUGACGGGGUCAAGCUGUUUCCU
rnacentral:rRNA from 1 species